rnacentral:rRNA from 1 species
UACGUAGGGGGCAAGCGUUGUCCGGAUUUAUUGGGCGUAAAGAGCACGCAGGCGGUCUUUCGCGUUCCCAGUGACAGGUGGCGGCUUAACUGCCACAGGGCAGGGAAAACGGGAAGACUUGAGAACUUCAGAGGGAUGCGGAAUUCCAGGUGGAGCGGUGAAAUGCGCAGAUAUCGGGAGGAACACCGGUGGCGAAGGCGGUUCUCUGGGCCUGACCUGACGCUGAGGAGCGAAAGCGUGGGGAGCGAACAGG